GAUGAACGCUGGCGGCGUGCCUAAUACAUGCAAGUCGAGCGAACAGACGAGGAGCUUGCUCCUCUGACGUUAGCGGCGGACGGGUGAGUAACACGUGGAUAACCUACCUAUAAGACUGGGAUAACUUCGGGAAACCGGAGCUAAUACCGGAUAAUAUAUUGAACCGCAUGGUUCAAUAGUGAAAGACGGUUUUGCUGUCACUUAUAGAUGGAUCCGCGCCGCAUUAGCUAGUUGGUAAGGUAACGGCUUACCGAGGCAACGAUGAGUAGCCGACCUGAGAGGGUGAUCGGCCACACUGGAACUGAGACACGGUCCAGACUCCUACGGGAGGCAGCAGUAGGGAAUCUUCCGCAAUGGGCGAAAGCCUGACGGAGCAACGCCGCGUGAGUGAUGAAGGUCUUCGGAUCGUAAAACUCUGUUAUUAGGGAAGAACAAAUGUGUAAGUAACUAUGCACGUCUUGACGGUACCUAAUCAGAAAGCCACGGCUAACUACGUG
rnacentral:rRNA from 1 species